AACGCAAAUUGCACUCUUCGGGUUUCCGGAGAGUAUGCCUGUCUGAGGGUCAUUAAAAUAAAAAAUCGAUCCGUUACCUUUGUUAACGUUUCGGAAUUGAGCCAUCUUUUGUCCCUGGAUUUAAGAGGCUUAAAAUUGAUUCAUUUUGGUAUGAUUUGAGCGUACUUAAGAUUUCCUUAUCGCGCUUAAUGAGUAUCGGACGUUUUAUUAGGCGCGACCAUCGAUCAUGGUUUCGUGCCCAUAAUCAUCUCAUGAUUAUGACCUCAGAUCAGGUAGGAUUACCCGCUGAACUUAA
rnacentral:misc_RNA from 1 species